rnacentral:misc_RNA from 1 species
AAACCCUCAAGCCUUGCUUGGUGUUGGGGAUCAGCCUUCUACGGCUGGCCCUGAAAAUUAGUGGCGGUCUCGCUGUAGCUUCCUCUGCGUAGUAGCACACCUCGCUCUGGAAAGCAGCGCGGCCUAGCCGUUAAACCCCCUACUUUUAUAA